UGGGGAAUAUUGCACAAUGGGGGAAACCCUGAUGCAGCGACGCCGCGUGAACGAAGAAGGUAUUCGUAUCGUAAAGUUCUGUCCUAUGGGAAGAUAAUGACAGUACCAUAGAAGAAAGCUCCGGCUAAAUACGUGCCAGCAGCCGCGGUAAUACGUAUGGAGCGAGCGUGGUCUGGAAUUAUUGAGCGUAAAGGGUACGCAGGCGGUUGAAUAAGUCGAAUGUUAAAGAUCGGGGCUCAACCCCGUAAAGCAUUGGAAACUGAUAAACUUGAGUAGUGGAGAGGAAAGUGGAAUUCCUAGUGUAGUGGUGAAAUACGUAGAUAUUAGGAGGAAUACCAGUAGCGAAGGCGACUUUCUGGACACAAACUGACGCUGAGGUACGAAAGCGUGGGGAGCAAACAGG
rnacentral:rRNA from 1 species